rnacentral:tRNA from 1 species
CGGAAUAGCUCAGUCGGUAGAGCGACGCAUUCGUAAUGCGUAGGUCGCGGGUUCGAGUCCCAUUUCCG